rnacentral:rRNA from 1 species
AGCCACCCUUUAAAGAAAGCGUAAUAGCUCACUAGUCGAGUCGGCCUGCGCGGAAGAUGUAACGGGGCUAAAACUAUAUGCCGAAGCUGCGGAUUUGCAAUUUAUUGCAAGUGGUAGGGGAGCGUUCUGUAAGCCGAUGAAGGUGGAUUGAGAAGUCUGCUGGAGGUAUCAGAAGUGCGAAUGCUGACGUGAGUAACGACAAAACGGGUGAAAAACCCGUUCGCUGAAAGACCAAGGGUUCCAGUCCAACGUUAAUCGGGGCUGGGUGAGUCGACCCCUAAGGCGAGGCCGAGAGGCGUAGUCGAUGGGAAAUUGGUUAAUAUUCCAAUACUUCUGUGUAAUGCGAUGAGAGGACGGAGUAAGUUAAGUCAGCCUGGCGUUGGUUGUCCAGGUGAAAGGAUGUAGGCAUGUAUCUUAGGCAAAUCCGGGGUACUCUAUGCUGAGAUCUGAUAGCAAGCUGUACUUGUACAGUGAAGUGGCUGAUACUAUGCUUCCAGGAAAAGUCUCUAAGCUUCAGUUGCACAGGAAUCGUACCCGAAACCGACACAGGUGGUCAGGUCGAGUAGACCAAAGCGCUUGAGAGAACUCUGCUGAAGGAACUAGGCAAAAUGGUACCGUAACUUCGGGAGAAGGUACGCUGCCGGCGGUGAUAGAACUUGCUUCUUGAGCUGCUGGCAGCCACAGAAACCAGGCCCCUGCAACUGUUUAUUAAAAACAUAGCACUCUGCAAACACGAAAGUGGACGUAUAGGGUGUGAUGCCUGCCCGGUGCUGGAAGGUUAAUUGAUGGGGUUAGCGUAAGCGAAGCUCUUGAUCGAAGCCCCAGUAAACGGCGGCCGUAACUAUAACGGUCCUAAGGUAGCGAAAUUCCUUGUCGGGUAAGUUCCGACCUGCACGAAUGGCAUAAUGAUGGGGGCGCUGUCUCCAGCAGAGGCUCAGUGAAAUCGAAAUCGCCGUGAAGAUGCGGUGUACCCGCGGCUAGACGGAAAGACCCCGUGAACCUUUACUGCAGCUUGACAUUGAACUUUGAUCUUACUUGUGUAGGAUAGGUGGGAGGCUUUGAAACCGCGACGCUAGUUGCGGUGGAGCCAAUCUUGAAAUACCACCCUGGUAAUAUUGAGGUUCUAACUCUGCUCCAUAAUCUGGAGCGAGGACCAUGUCUGGUGGGUAGUUUGACUGGGGCGGUCUCCUCCUAAAGAGUAACGGAGGAGUACGAAGGUGCGCUCAGCGUGGUCGGAAAUCACGCGUAGAGUAUAAAGGCAAAAGCGCGCUUAACUGCGAGACCCACAAGUCGAGCAGGUACGAAAGUAGGUCUUAGUGAUCCGGUGGUUCUGUAUGGAAGGGCCAUCGCUCAACGGAUAAAAGGUACUCUGGGGAUAACAGGCUGAUACCGCCCAAGAGUUCAUAUCGACGGCGGUGUUUGGCACCUCGAUGUCGGCUCAUCUCAUCCUGGGGCUGAAGCAGGUCCCAAGGGUAUGGCUGUUCGCCAUUUAAAGAGGUACGCGAGCUGGGUUUAGAACGUCGUGAGACAGUUCGGUCCCUAUCUACCGUGGGCGCUGGAAAUUUGAGAGGAUCUGCUCCUAGUACGAGAGGACCAGAGUGGACGAACCUCUGGUGUACCGGUUGUGACGCCAGUCGCAUCGCCGGGUAGCUAUGUUCGGAAGGGAUAACCGCUGAAAGCAUCUAAGCGGGAAGCCUACCUCAAGAUAAGAUUUCCCUAGGACUUUAUGUCCUCUAAAGAGCCGUUGAAGACUACGACGUUGAUAGGCUGGAUGUGGAAGUGCGGUGACGCAUGAAGCUGACCAGUACUAAUUGCUCGUGAGGCUUGACUAU